AUCCCUGUAGCUCAGUUGGUAGAGCAUGGUGUUUGCAACGCCAGGGUUGUGGGUUCGAUUCCCACGGGGGGCC
rfam:Salmo salar isolate Sally breed double haploid chromosome ssa11, whole genome shotgun sequence.